rnacentral:misc_RNA from 1 species
AAGAGACGUUGCCCUUCGGGGUAUACCUCCCACCCUUUGUUUAUUAUACCUUUGUUACUUUGGCGGGCCCGUCCUCGGACCACCGGCUUCUGCUGGUCAGUGCCCGCCAGAGGACCUAAAACUCUGUUUGUUAAUAUUGUCUGAGUACUAUAUAAUAGUUA